rnacentral:RNase_P_RNA from 1 species
GCCGAACAGCCGCAGGCAGCGCCCGAAAGGGUCUGCGCGAGGAAAGUCCGGGCUUCACAGAGCAAAAAUAACGGCUAACGGCCGCCGGGGGCGACCCCAGGGAUAGUGCAACAGAAAAUAACUGCCGGGUGACCCGGAGACAAUCCGGGCAGACAGAUUCUAUGAGUAGAGGCAAUUUCAGCCCGACCGAAGAGAAUGUGUUGACCUUGGUAAAGGUGGAAAGGUGAGGUAAGAGCUCACCGGAGGGCAGGAGACUGCUCUGCCGUGUAAACCCUAUUUGAAGCAACACCGUGGAAGGACAUUAUGCGCUUGCUCGGCGCGUCCUGAGGAGGUGGCACCGAGCGGAUCGGGCAACCGACCGCCAAGAUAGAUGGCUGUUCAAGACAGAACCCGGCUUACAGACGCAGU